AACGAACGCUGGCGGCAUGCCUAACACAUGCAAGUCGAACGAGACCUUCGGGUCUUGUGGCGCACGGGUGCGUAACGCGGGGGAACCUGCCCUUAGGUUCGGAAUCACUCCCCGAAGGGGGUGCUAAUACCGGAUAAUGUCUUCGGACCUAAGAUUUGUUGCCUUUGGGUGGGGCCGCGUUGGAUUAGCUAGUUGGUAGGGUAAAAGCCUACCAAGGCGACGAUGCAUAGCUGGUCGGGGAGGAUGAUCAGCCACACUGGGACUGAGACACGGCCCAGACUCCUACGGGAGGGAGCGGUGGGGAAUAUUGGACGAGGGGCGAAAGCCUGAUCCAGCAAUGCCGCGUGAGUGAGGAAGGCCUUAGGGUUGUAAAGCUCUUUUACCCGAGAUGAUAAUGACGGUACCGGGAGAAUAAGCACCGGCUAACUCCGUG
rnacentral:rRNA from 1 species